rnacentral:lncRNA from 1 species
ACCGAUUUGAUGUCAACAACUGCUCCAUCUGCUACCACUGGGUCACCUCCAGGCCGCAGGAGCCUGCAGUCUUCUCGGCCGAUUACAGAGGCUGCCACGUGCUGGAGAAGGUACCCACCUGAGCCAGGAGCAGUGCCAGGUGGCCUCAGGGCACCUCCCCUGCAUCGUGAGAAGAACUUCAAAAGAAGCCUGUCAGCAGGCUGGCUGCUGCUAUGACAACACCAGAGAGGUUCCCUGUUACUAUGGCAACACAGCUACUGUCCAGUGCUUCAGAGAUGGCUACUUCGUCCUCGUGGUGUCCCAAGAAAUGGCCUUGACACACAGGAUCACACUGGCCAACAUCCACCUGGCCUAUGCCCCCACCAGCUGCUCCCCAACACAGCACACGGAAGCUUUCGUGGUCUUCUACUUCCCUCUC